UGAGAAAAGCAGAAGCGAGAGCUUCUCGCCUUGCGACAAACGUUGUCUGGCUCUACAUGUCAAAUUUCAUUCCCAUGGAAUAUACUGUAGUGCGGGCUUGCGUUGGCAAGUCCGCUUUCGUUUUUCUCU
rfam:Streptococcus sobrinus W1703 genomic scaffold Scaffold629, whole genome shotgun sequence.